UACGGGGGGGAGCAAGCGUUGUUCGGAUUUACUGGGCGUAAAGGGCGCGUAGGCGGCCACCGCAAGUCGACUGUGAAAUCUCCGGGCUUAACCCGGAAAGGUCAGCCGAUACUGCGGGGCUAGAGUGCAGAAGGGGGCAACUGGAAUUCUCGGUGUAGCGGUGAAAUGCGUAGAUAUCGGGAGGAACACCAGUAGCGAAGGCGGCACUCUGGGCCGGUACUGACGCUGAGGAGCGAAAGCGUGGGGAGCGAACAGG
rnacentral:rRNA from 1 species